rnacentral:rRNA from 1 species
GACGAACGCUGGCGGCGUGCUUAACACAUGCAAGUCGAGCGGAAAGGCUCCUUCGGGGGUACUCGAGCGGCGAACGGGUGAGUAACACGUGAGUAAUCUGCCCUGCGCUCUGGGAUAGCCACCGGAAACGGUGCUUAAUACCGCAUAUGACUGCUACCCGCCUGGGCGGGGGGUGGAAGCGUUUUCGGCGCAGGAUGGGCUCGCGGCCUAUCAGAUUGUUGGGUAGGUAAUGGCUCCCCAAGGCUUUGACGGGUAGCCGGCCUGGGAGGGUAACCGGUGACACUGGGACGGAGACACGGCCCAGACUCCUACGGGAGGCAGCAGUGGGGAAUAUUGGACAAUGGGCGGAAGCCUGAUCCAGCAACGCCGCGUGAGGGAUGACGGCCUUCGGGUUGUAAACCUCUUUCAGUACCGACGAAGCGAGAGUGACGGUAGGUACAGAAGAAGGACCGGCCAACUACGUGCCAGCCGCCGCAGUAAUAC